rnacentral:rRNA from 1 species
AGUGAACGCUGGCGGUAGGCCUAACACAUGCAAGUCGAACGGCAGCACAGUAAGAUCUUGCUCUUACGGGUGGCGAGUGGCGGACGGGUGAGGAAUACAUCGGAAUCUACUUUUUCGUGGGUGAUAACGUAGGGAAACUUACGCUAAUACCGCAUACGACCUACGGGUGAAAGCAGGGGAUCUUCGGACCUUGCGCGAUUGAAUUAGCCGAUGUCGGAUUAGCUAGUUGGCGGGGUAAAGGCCCACCAAGGCGACGAUCCGUAGCUGGUCUGAGAGGAUGAUAAGCCACACUGGAACUGAGACACGGUCCAGACUCCUACGGGAGGCAGCAGUGGGGAAUAUUGGACAAUGGGCGAAAGCCUGAUCCAGCCAUACCGCGUGAGUGAAGAAGGCCUUCGGGUUGUAAAGCCCUUUUGUUGGGAAAGAAAAGCAGCAGGUGAAUACCCCGAUGUUCUGACGGUACCCAAAGAAUAAGCACCGGCUAACUUCGUG